rnacentral:rRNA from 1 species
AUUGAACGCUGGCGGCAGGCUUAACACAUGCAAGUCGAGCGGUAACAGAGAGAAGCUUGCUUCUCUGCUGACGAGCGGCGGACGGGCGAGUAAUGCCUAGGAAUCUGCCUAGUAGUGGGGGACAACUUGCCGAAAGGUAAGCUAAUACCGCAUACGUCCUACUGGAGAAAGGAGGGGACCUUCGGGCCUUUCGCUAUUAGAUGAGCCUAGGUCGGAUUAGUUAGUUGGUGAGGUAAUGGCUCACCAAGACCGCGAUCCGUAACUGGUCUGAGAGGAUGAUCAGUCACACUGGAACUGAGACACGGUCCAGACUCCUACGGGAGGCAGCAGUGGGGAAUAUUGGACAAUGGGGGGAACCCUGAUCCAGCCAUGCCGCGUGUGUGAAGAAGGUCUGAGGAUGGUAAAGCACUUUAAGGUGGGAGGAAGAGCAGUUAACUAAUAUUUGACUGUUUUGACGUUACCGACAGAAUAAGCACCGGCUAACUUCGU